rnacentral:rRNA from 1 species
GAUGAACGCUGACAGAAUGCUUAACACAUGCAAGUCGAUGGGGAAGUGGUGCUUGCACCCUGGUAACCAUGGCGGACGGGUGAGUAACACGUAAGGAACUUACCUGCGGGACCGGGAUAACAGCAGGAAACUGCUGACAAGACCGGAUAAGGUCAUUAAGCUGCAUAGCUUAGUGAUGAAAGGAGACGCCUGCGGAGAGCCUUGCGUCCUAUUAGCUAGUUGGAGGGGUAACGGCCCACCAAGGCGAAGAUAGGUAGCCGGCCUGAGAGGGUGGACGGCCACAAGGGGACUGAGAUACGGCCCUUACUCCUACGGGAGGCAGCAGUGGGGAAUAUUGGACAAUGGGGGCAACCCUGAUCCAGCAAUUCUGUGUGCACGAAGACGGUUUUCGGAUUGUAAAGUGCUUUCAGCAGGGAAGAAGGAAGUGACGGUACCUGCAGAAGAAGCGACGGCUAAAUACGUG